AUGAACAUUGUAUCUGGAUCUCGUUUGAUGCGAGAUGGCUACUCAUUUAAAUCAGAGAAUAAUGGUUGUUCUAUUUAUAUGAGAGAUAUGUUUUAUGGUCAUGCCCCGUUGGUCAAUGGUUUAUUCUUAAUGAAUCUCGAAAGUGAUGUUACACAUAUUCAUAGUGUGAAUGCCAAGAAAUGUAAGGUUGAUAAUGAUAGUCCCACAUACUUGCGGCACUGCCGCCUUGGUCACACUGGUGUCAAACGUAUGAAGAAACUCCAUGCAGAUGGACUUUUGGAGUCUCUUGAUUAUGAAUCAUUUGACACGUGCGAACCAUGCCUCAUGGGCAAAAUGACCAAGACUCCGUUCUCCGGAACAAUGGAGCGAGCAACCAACUUAUUGGAAAUCAUACAUACUGAUGUGUGCGGUCCAAUGAGCGUUGAGGCUCGCGGUGGCUAUCGUUAUAUUCUCACCCUCACUGAUGACUUGAGUAGAUAUGAGUAUGUCUACUUAAUGAAACACAAGUCUGAGACCUUUGAAAAGUUCAAGGAAUUUCAGAGUGAGAUUGAGAAUCAACGUGACAGGAAAAAUAAAGUUCUUACGAUCAGAUCGUGGAGGGGAAUAUUUGAGUCACGAAUUUGGCACAUACUUAAGGAAAUGUGGAAUUGUUUCACAACUCACGCCGCCUGGAACACCACAGCGUAA
rnacentral:rRNA from 1 species